rnacentral:rRNA from 1 species
CUGGCGGCAGGCCUAACACAUGCAAGUCGAGCGGAAACGACACUANCAAUNCUUCGGGNGCUUUAAUGGGCGUCGAGCGGCGGACGGGUGAGUAAUGCCUAGGAAAUUGCCUUGAUGUGGGGGAUAACCAUUGGAAACGAUGGCUAAUACCGCAUAAUGCCUACGGGCCAAAGAGGGGGAUCUUCGGACCUCUCGCGUCAAGAUAUGCCUAGGUGGGAUUAGCUAGUUGGUGAGGUAAUGGCUCACCAAGGCGACGAUCCCUAGCUGGUCUGAGAGGAUGAUCAGCCACACUGGAACUGAGACACGGUCCAGACUCCUACGGGAGGCAGCAGUGGGGAAUAUUGCACAAUGGGCGAAAGCCUGAUGCAGCCAUGCCGCGUGUAUGAAGAAGGCCUUCGGGUUGUAAAGUACUUUCAGUUGUGAGGAAGGGUGUGUAGUUAAUAGCUGCGCAUCUUGACGUUAGCAACAGAAGAAGCACCGGCUAACUCCGUGCCAGCAGCCGCGGUAAUACCGGAGGGUGCGAGCGUUAAUCGGAAUUACUGGGCGUAAAGCGCAUGCAGGUGGUUCAUUAAGUCANAUGUGAAAGCCCGGGGGCUCAACCUCGGAACUGCAUUUGAAAAUGGUGAACUAAANUGCUGUAAAGGGGGGUAGAAUUUNAGGUGUAGCGGGUGAAAUGCNUAGANAUCUGAAGGAAAUACC